UGGGGAAUAUUGCACAAUGGGCGAAAGCCUGAUGCAGCGACGCCGCGUGCGGGAUGAAGGCCUUCGGGUUGUAAACCGCUUUUAAUUGGGAGCAAGCGAGAGUGAGUGUACCUUUUGAAUAAGCACCGGCUAACUACGUGCCAGCAGCCGCGGUAAUACGUAGGGUGCAAGCGUUAUCCGGAAUUAUUGGGCGUAAAGAGCUCGUAGGCGGUUUGUCACGCCUGGUGUGAAAGUCCAUCGCUUAACGGUGGAUCUGCGCCGGGUACGGGCAGGCUAGAGUGCAGUAGGGGAGAUUGGAAUUCCCGGUGUAACGGUGGAAUGUGUAGAUAUCGGGAAGAACACCAAUGGCGAAGGCAGAUCUCUGGGCUGUUACUGACGCUGAGGAGCGAAAGCAUGGGGAGCGAACAGGAUUAGAUACCCUGGUAGUCCA
rnacentral:rRNA from 1 species